rnacentral:rRNA from 1 species
GAGUUUGAUUCUGGCUCAGGAUGAACGCUAGCGGGAGGCCUAACACAUGCAAGCCGAGCGGGAUUUGUUGGUUAGCUUGCUAACUAAUAAUGAGAGCGGCGUACGGGUGCGUAACACGUGUGCAACCUGCCUUUAUCUGGGGGAUAGCCUUUCGAAAGGAAGAUUAAUACCCCAUAAUAUAUUAAUUGGCAUCAAUUGAUAUUGAAAGCUCCGGCGGAUAGAGAUGGGCACGCGUAAGAUUAGCUAGUUGGUGAGGUAACGGCUCACCAAGGCUGCGAUCUUUAGGGGGCCUGAGAGGGUGAUCCCCCACACUGGUACUGAGACACGGACCAGACUCCUACGGGAGGCAGCAGUGAGGAAUAUUGGACAAUGGGUGAGAGCCUGAUCCAGCCAUCCCGCGUGAAGGACUAAGGACCUAUGGUUUGUAAACUUCUUUUAUAACAGGGAUAAACCUACUCUCGUGAGGGUAGCUGAAGGUACUGUAUGAAUAAGCCCCGCA